UCAUUGAGACUUCGGUGGAUUUGAUCUAUUUCUUUUGGCGGACGGGUGAGUAACGCGUGGGUAACCUGCCUUACACAGGGGGAUAACAGUCAGAAAUGGCUGCUAAUACCGCAUAAGCGCACAGAGCUGCAUGGCUCAGUGUGAAAAACUCCGGUGGUAUAAGAUGAACCCGCGUUGGAUUAGCUUGUUGGUGGGGUAACGGCCCACCAAGGCGACGAUCCAUAGCCGGCCUGAGAGGGUGAACGGCCACAUUGGGACUGAGACACGGCCCAGACUCCUACGGGAGGCAGCAGUGGGGAAUAUUGCACAAUGGGGGAAACCCUGAUGCAGCGACGCCGCGUGAAGGAAGAAGUAUCUCGGUAUGUAAACUUCUAUCAGCAGGGAAGAUAGUGACGGUACCUGACUAAGAAGCCCCGGCUAACUACGUGCCAGCAGCCGCGGUAAUACGUAGGGGGCAAGCGUUAUCCGGAUUUACUGGGUGUAAAGGGAGCGUAGACGGUGUGGCAAGUCUGAUGUGAAAGGCAUGGGCUCAACCUGUGGACUGCAUUGGAAACUGUCAUACUUGAGUGCCGGAGGGGUAAGCGGAAUUCCUAGUGUAGCGGUGAAAUGCGUAGAUAUUAGGAGGAACACCAGUGGCGAAGGCGGCUUACUGGACGGUAACUGACGUUGAG
rnacentral:rRNA from 1 species